rnacentral:lncRNA from 1 species
AAACACUGGGAGCUGCUAAGGAGAGUCCUGGGAGAUGCUUGGGUCAAAGGGAGCUGUGGGGAGCCCCCCAGCCCCCCAAGUCCUUGUGCUUCAUGGGAAGACCCAAAUGCUGAAGGGCUCCCAUGCUGUGCUUCCCCAUGUGCUGGACAUCCUCCCAGUGCGUGAAUUCCCCAGCGUGUGGGUGCGGGAGGGGGGUGGUGCAGAUUGUGCUGAGGGAUGUGGUUAAUGGUAAUGGGUUGGCGGUUGGAUUUGAUUUUCCAUGGUUCUGUGAUUUGCUGCUCCUGUCUGCCUGGCGCAGGAAGAUAAAAGCUGCCGUUGCAAAAACGCUGUGACUUCCAAAGGUGCCCAAAGCACAGCACAUCUUGGUGGAGUGUGCUGCUUGACGAGUCUGGCUUCCUAGCAGUGCUGGGGGUGCCCUCAUCCUGUCCUUCACCAGCAGUUAGAAACCUGCACAGGGGGCAGCAUGCAGAUGGGGGAGUGGUGGUGGUGGAAUCCCCACCUUGAUGCUUGUUGUAUUGCUCUGAUGUGAAGGAUGCUGGUGGGGGCUGCUGGGGCUGUGUGAAUCCAGCCCUGCCUGCUGUGCAGGAAGCAGAGGCAGGCUCCUCUGUGCAAAGCAUCUGCAGCAAUGUCCUUUGCUGACAGUAUGCAUCAAAUCUGAUGUGCCUUGGGGAGAAGAGGUGGGAAAAGGAGAGAGAAGCAGGAGAAGCUGUAGCGGGCAGCUGGAGAAGCGUGGGGCUCCCAGAGCGUGCCCUCCUGUGGGCUGCUGGUCAGGUGCUGCUGGUGAAUAUCACACCUCAAAACACCUCUGCACCUCCCCCCAAACACUUGGCUAUUCCCAAGAUGAGCUCAGGUUCCAUUUUGGAGCAUAUGAUGCUACUAGGGGUGGUUGGAAGGUGCCUAAUUAAGUUUGGCUGUUGUGUAUUAGCUGGUGGUUCAGCUUUGUGCAUGUGUGGUGUUGGACAGCAUUUAUCAUAAUACCUUCUACUGCUUUGUGCAUUUAUUGCGAUGCCUUUCACCCCUUUGUACCCCCCAGGCUGUGGUUGUACUCUAUAACACAGACCCAAAGCUGUGAGGGGAAGGAUCUCGGCCCAGAUCUGCAAUGCAAAAAGGACAGCUGCUAAGUGCUGGUAAAACAAACAUCACAUGUUCCGUGGGGCUCCUACAAGGCAUGGUGAUCUCCUGAACACAGGUCCCUAUGAGCUCCUGGCACGUUUUCAAGUCCAAGCUGAGCAAAUGCAAGAUGACAAGAAGAGUAAGAGCUUGCUUAGCAGGAAGAGGAGCGCUGAGCCUGAGCUGGGGUGGCUGCCCCUGCAGCGCAGUGAUGUAUCACAAAGUCAGGUUCCCCUUUUGGAUGGCCUACAAGGUCAGCAGAAAUGCGAGGGGAUGGAGCUCAGUGCUGGGGUCCGAUCUCCCUGUGCUGGUGCAGCCUUGCCCUGGGCUGGGUCCUGGACCAGCAACUUCCACGUUGGGCAAUCAGAGAACCGUGGGAACAUUAAGGUUGGAAAAGACCUCUCUGCAUCUCAGCACACCCCACCAUUUCCACUGCCCACACCCCUCAGUGCCACAUCCCCGCAGCUCUGCAAUGCCUCCACAGAUGGUGAUCCCACCACUCCCUGGGCAGCUGUGCCAAUGCAGAACUGCAGUUCCUAAUACCCAACCUGAGAUGCAGGGCUUGAUACCAGCUGCUGCUGGCUUCCUGGCUUUGCUUACAGCUGUCCCAGUGCAGCUCCACCUCUCCUUCAAACCCACUGUGAUGGACAGCAGGCGCUAUGGGUAGGACAUCAAACCCCACCGAGGCCUACUGGGAGCUGCGGGUGUGAGAAAAGGAGAGCUGCGUGGGAGCUGCUGCUUCUGCUGGUUUGGCUCAGGUGGGUGGAAGGGAAGGGGAGAGCACAUCUGGGGGCAGCAAUGGGGCUUUUUCUUGAUGCAGUGUCUGCCCUUGUUCCGAAUCGCUGCAUUGUGUGUUCCCUUUAAAAACAAGGGCGAUGCUGCACGCUUCCUUGCUUUCAAAGAAAGGGUUUGCUCAUGCUGAAGUCCUCACUGAACACAGUGCUGUGCUCUGUGAUACCUGGAAAGCACCCAGUCACCGCACCCAGGAGCCGUGGGUGUGAGCAGGGUGUGUUUGUGCGAGGGGUGAUCCUGGUGUCAGGAUGGGACCCCGCUUUGUCAGGGUGUGCUCUGCCCCUGGGAGCAGCAGAUCAGCGCUGGGGGCUGAGUGAGGAUGUGGUGUUUGGAUCACUGCAUGGGAAACCAGUCUGCAGAGCAGGGGAGGCUGAUUUGAAGUAACUUUUAUGGCUGGGCUGUUGAUAUUUCUGCAUAAAUAGUGAAAAGCAUUCCGAGGGGGUGGCUGACGGUGUGCCAUACCCAUGGUGCCAUAGCCAGGGGUGCUGGGGUGCAGGAUGCAGUGCUGGCAGUAGCAGGUUGCUUAGUGAAGCAGUACUGAUUUAAAAGGACAAAAAAAAAAAAAAGAGAGAUGGUUGCACUGGGAAGCUAUGAGCAGAUUGGAUAUCACACCACUAUGUGGCAUGGCUGAUUUGUGGCAGUGGCAGCAGGAUGCUCCUCCUGCAGCAAGAGCAUCCUGGGGCUCGUUGGCACCAGGCCCUGGUGUAGGUGUUCUCCCCAUUGCAUCCUCCUGCAUGGGAUGGUGUCCCCUCUUCCCUUGUCCUUGGUCCUGGUGAACCCCGCCCCAGGCAGGAGCUGGCGUGCAGCAUCCAUUACCUUGGUCUGUGCAAUCAAAAGCCAUUUAUAGUAAAUGUGUUUGCUUUGUACUGAAUUACUCACAAUGCUGCCAAGUACAACCACACCAGCUGUUAAUUAGAGUUUAGCUUUUAUUACCAAAAAGUCUGCUCUGUUGAUAUGGAAAAUGGGAAUAAAAAGUCAUUUAACCUAUUGUGAUGUGAAAAUAAACGAUGACUUGUUGGUUUAAUUAAAUAGUCUAUUUAUCUAGCCGUCAAAGUGUUUGAACAUACACGGGAUUACGAGCGGCGCUAUCCUGCCUUGUCUCCUGUUGUCUGCAUAAUCCUGUUGUUGGAAGGGAGUCACCUGCUGCAUGCCCCAUUGAGCCCGAUGCUCCUCCAGCAGAGAAGUCACAUGCAUUUCUGCACAUCCCUUCCUACUCUUCCCAUCCAACAAGGAGACAUCACCUCCUUUCAUAGAGUCAUAGAAUGGCUUGGGUUGGAAGGGACCCCAAGGUUCACCGAGGUCCAACCCCUUCCCACAGGCAGGGCCACCAACCUGCAGAUCUCGCACUAGCCCAGGUUGCCCAGGGCCUCAUCCAACCUGGUCUUUUCCAUGUGCUCACAUUCUGUGCUUCCUUGAAGUGCAUCCCUUGGGCUCAUUCAGGAAUUUUUCUGCACGUUCCAUAGCAGAAGGAAUCUUAGGACUUCCAGAAACCUGUGUGCUCCUCAAUGCCUUCCUCCCUUCAUUGAGAUGGUGGUGAAAAGGGAGGUUCUCCAUGCUCACAUCUGACAUUCUCUGUGUUUUGUGCCAUUUCUUUGUCCCUAACAGCUCUGUCUUGAGUGGCGCGUGGAUUUCCAAGAAGAACUGGAGAGCCUGCAGAUGGGUGGUGGAGCCAACAGAUCUCAUCUGCGUGGGUUGCCGGACGGUGGGGCUCAAAGGACAGGCGUGGGGAGCAGGUUUGGUCAAAAGGUCCCUUUGGUUGAACGGUUCACUUGGCUCACCUGGUUGGAUGCCAGUCUCUCCUCGGUGUUCCUAACAGGUGUGGGCGCUGCUGCUGUUUGCUCCUGGCCGCGGUGCAGGACACGCGCGCUGUGUCUCCGCCGGAGCGCUGAACUUGUCGGCGCUGUUUACUUACGCGUUCGCACUGUUUGUGCAGCCAGAAGUCUCAAUCUCAUAUUUAUCUCCUCUUAAAGCAGCUACAGUUUAUACUUUAAACACAUUAAUCAUUUCCAAGCCUUUAAAGGGCUUUUAAGUGGAGACACUGGUUAUGUUUGCCUUUUAUUUAAAGUCUCCCUUCCGAAUCGGGAGGCAAAGUGCUUCAAAGGACGCUGAAGGAGCGUGCUCUCAGAUGAACUGCAACGAGUAAGCCUCCCCCGUGCAAAAAAUAGAGCCAAAAAAGCCCUGUGCUUCAGAGGGCACCUCCAUGCCUGGCUGGGUGAGCGUGCUUUUUGGGCUGUCCUUGGCCAAGGGUUCCUUUUGGAGGAUAUGGGACUCUCCCGGGUGCACAUCUCCUUUGUAGGCAGUGGUUUGCUCCCUGCAGCCCAUGGUUGGGGCUCUGUGGUCCCCAGAUCUCAUGAAUCAAUCCUGAGGUCUUUCAGCUCCAGCUUAGCAGUGGCAGAGCACGACCCAUAGAAGGGUUCUAAGACCCACAUCCCCUGCACAGCGCAGUAUGUGCUGCUCCCAGCUGCAUCAGCACUGCUUCUGGCUCUAGGUUUUGAGCUCUAAACCCAUCCUGGUGUUCUCAGGAGGAGGUGCUGUCUCCUGCUUGGGUCACCAAAGCAGCCCAUUGGGGAUACAGCACUCAGGAAAGCCUUUGGUAAAUACUGGCACACUUGUUUAUUGGAUGGGGAGGAAGCCCUACCAGAGUUAGGAACGCUUGCACAGUGUCUGUUUUACAUAGGUAUGAUAACCACUGCGAGGCACUGCUGCUUGGGACUGGAGGUCAGGCAUGCACAGCCUCUCCUUAGUGAGGGCUUGGGACCUCAGAUGUGCAUCCUGCUAGAAUACAUGGUGCGAAGCGGGUGGCACCCAUAAUGGCUCACAGCCAUCUGCUGGGGGUGUAAAUAAAGCAGUGAUUGGACUGGUGAAGGAUUCUUAACAAAGGUGUUGCUGCUGGCUUUUGGUGGACGGAGGUUUUUGCUCCCGGGGCAUCUCCACACCUGGCUGCUGAGAUGUGCUUUGCUUGGAGUCUGGUCCUCCAGACGCCUUAUUUUCUUCUUUUCCCAUGAAACCAUGGGGAACAAGUGAGCUGGAGGUUAAAUAUCAGACCUGCAGCUCCAAGUCCUCCUCCAGGCUGUGCAAUGAGGUGGUGGGAGUCUUGCUUACAUUGCAUUAGUGGCAGAGAAAAUCCUUUGGGUUGGAGCAGCUUCUGCUAGGAUAAGGAGAAAUGGUUUUCUUGGGAGAAAAUUUGGCUUUUUUUCUUUUCUUUUUUCUUUAUUAAAGGGCAGGAUAAGACUGAAGAUUCCCGUUGGCACUGUGUGCUCAGCACCAGGCACUGAGCAGAGCCCAUUGCAUUCAUCUUCGCGCCCCUUGGCCUCCGCGCUCCUCCGCCUCCGUAAUUGUAACAAAUGCUUUUUCCAUAAGAUGUCAGUGUGGCACAGGAGUUUGGAUGCUUGUUUGUUAGUUGUGAGUAAUCCAUCACGGGAAGUGAGGGAAAGCCAUCUUCUGGGCCAUCCCCAAGUGUCAGCUCGUUUAGGGCUUGUGGCAUUAAUAUUUCCAUGGGUGGAGGAAUGGCCACGCUGAUCCCAUACCAUGAAAGGACGGCUGCUCGCCUUCAGCGAGGUCAGGAAAUGCUGAGGAACCAGAAAUGAGCACCAGAUGCUCCCAGCUGCCCGGUUCGUGCUCUCCCUGUUCGGCACUUCCACCCGACCAAUUCAGGUGUCCCCAGAAUUGAAUCUCGAACACCGUUUCCACCCUUUGGUGCAUUUGAAACAACAAUCUGGAAAACGCGUUGGUGUUUUAAUAGUGUUUUUGGGUAACCCUCUUGUACCUCAGGUAUAGCCAAAACAAGGAACAAAACCCCUCAGGGCUGUGGAACCCCCAAAUGCUGAUGGGGAGGCUCCUGCUGAUCUCGUUGGGAGCUGGACCAAUGCCCGGUGGCAGACAAAGGCUGUGUGAGCAGGGAGUGCUCACCCUGGCCCUGCUCUUCCCAUGGUGUUGGGGCCCAGGGUAUGUAUUUCCCCCCUGGCAAUGGGCAGACUUGGAUGGGUUGGAUGUUGCGCAGCUCUCUCCCUUCUCUGGUUUCAGCUCGGUUGUUAAACCCAGUAAUAUGCGCAAUAAUCUGCCUGUCUGGGAUUAAUAUAACGUUAUAUGUUUCUUGAAAGCCUUUCUGAUCCCGCAGUUAAUUUAAUCUUUUAUUAACAUUAACGAGCUCAUGUGGUGUCCAGCAAGCCUGGGGAGAAUGCUUUCCAAUACCAACAGAUGACAAAGAGAUGAAAAUAUAAUAGCAGAUGAAUUCCUCCUUCACCGCAAAGGCAGCGAGGAGGGCAGAGCAGAGCUGAGCCUCCUGCUCAGCAGAGCACGUACCGCUCGCUAACGUGAGCUGCCAGGAAGCAGCGCUCGUUGUUGAGGCUUUGAAAUGGCAAAGGCAGAGAUUACUGGGAGGCGUAUCUCUGGCCGAGGAGCAGGGCGCACUUAGCAGCUAUCGGCGCCCAAGUGCCAAAAGGAAAACGUUAACCUCCCUGGUGCCAAAGAGGCUCUGCGGAUCCAUUCUUUGGCCUCAGUGCAACGUUAUAAAACAGAAAUAAUGGCAGUCUGGAAAACGGCCAUUUCGCUGCUAGGAAUUUCUGCUUUAUGCACUUGCCAGGUUCCUACCUCGGGUCGCGGGAGUUGAAGCACGGGGCAGCAGAGUGCCCACCCCCAUGCAGUGCCAGGAGCUCCCAUAUCCCCCCCAGUGACUCAAGCAGGUGAUGCCCGUCCUGCCCUGGGCUGUUCCUUUGGGCUGUGCUUUGGCAGCGGUGCCGUGGGCUCUGCCCGGGUUGGUGCUGGAGGAUCAGAGGUGAUGGAGGUUGCGUGGCCGCUGCUCGUGCCGGGCUGCCUUGGCGCAUCACCCAAGAGCCACGGCCAGACCUGGAGGGAUCCAGAAGUUUCAUUAAUUUCCAAUUGAGCUGGAGCCGGCGUGGGUUGGUCUUCUUGCUAGAACAAAGUUGUUCUGCACACCCAACAGCACCGGCAUUGGAUCCAGAUGGGAGCAGCUCUGCUCCAGCAGGCAGAGGGAACCCAUUAGGAGUGUGCUCCAUUCCAAGGAAUUCCUCUCCAAUUUCCUUCCCAAUUAUCCUGCUUAUCCACACACAUGAACCCUCCCUGCUCUGAUGCUGCUUUAUCUCCUGAACGGAUGGAUUUUCUUUUCCCUUUGUGCUGUUGUGGGGCCACGUCAUGGCAGGAGGGGCUGCUGGGUGCAAGGAGAGGGGGUGUCCCCUGAGGCUGCUUGGUCUUUAAUAUGUAAAGCAGAGACCUGCCAAAAUGCAGUGCCAAGAUCACACGAGGUGCUUGCUCUUAGCAGGAGGCUUUCAUGGAAGCAUUAAGGGUUGGGAAAGACCUCUGAGAUCUCCAACCCACCCCACUGUGCCCACUGGUCAUGUGUACAAGUGUCAUAUCCCCAUGGUUCUUGAACUCCCCCAGGUGUGGGGACACCGCUGUGCCCUGGGCAGCCUGUGCUGGAGCAGCACUGCUCUUUCAGAGGAGAAAUCUAUCGGGCGUAGGGAUUACCUUUUGCAUGCCACCAGCCCUGCUUCUGCACACUGCCCAGGAAUGAGCACCAUAAGUGAUGGACGUGGGGUGGGUGCACUGCUUUGCACACCAGUGUGGGCUGUAAGGGCAGAAAAGUAGCAUAAAAAUGAGCUUGUUGUAAAGAGGAGGGAGAACGGGGUUUGACUGGCUCAAGUGAGGAGAAAUUAGUGAUGGAGUUGGAGUUUUCUGAGCCGCAAGCUGCAGUUUACUUUAAAUUUUAGGAAAGUGUGGUCUCCGCUGAGGUCUGCGCUGUGGUGAACAUGGUGCUGCUUUCCAAGCCUCAACGGUUUUGCUGGGCUAAUAAAAGUGGUCAGAGGAGGAGGGAAAGAUGUGGUGGAAUCUGGGCACGGGGGAGGCAGGACCUGAGCUGGAACUCCCCAUCUGGGGCUGUUCAGCUCUCCAUAAAGCAAAGCGAAAGGCAGCUCAUGGGCCAAUGCACGGGCAGGGUGCAGAGCUGCCAAAGUUGCUGUAAGUUGUGCAGACUGGGGCUGGCAGGCCCAGGUCCAUCAGUCCCCAGAUGGUUUCCCACCAUUUUUUUUUUACAAUCUUUUGGCUCUGGGUCAAGUUUUAAUUUGGUUUUUGCUUUGAGCAAAGGUGCACCGCUGUGUGCUCGGGGAGGUGCAAACGGAGGGCGAGCUGCGAAGCGAAGGUGGAGGGGGUGGAAAAAAAAAUCACAGCCUGGGAAAAAUGGGCUUUGCAUAUAUUUGGGGAGGUUGCUAAUUAGUGCAGAGAGUCACCACACCAGGGAACGCUGUGUAAAAGGUAAAGCUCGGCCGUGCUCAGAAGCGAGACGGUGUGGGAAUACUAAUGAGAGCUGCUCAGCUUCACCUGAAUGCAAACCCGUGCAGGAAUUCAGGGUUUAGUGCUGCAAAGCACCACUGAGCAGGUGGGGGAGGCUGCGGCUGCACCAGGGUUUGCUGGGGACCCCAGCACUCUGCUCCUGGCUCUGGCAUUGGCAGCGCCUGCUCCUGCCUGCUUUGGGAUGGAUGGGUGGAUGGGAACUGUGCUUUGUGGUGGGCGCGGUGGUCCCAUAUGGGAACCUCACGUGUAGGCUGUGCAAAAAGCUGUGCGCAAGUUCAGCUUCUGAGCUAUGGCGUCAUGUUUUAGUUUUGGCUUUAAAGCAGGCUUCAUCCCAGCAUUUCUCACAUGUCCACCGUUUGCGUUGGCUGAUGAGUUCUGUGCACGUGAGCGCUUGGGCUUUAGCUGAUGCCUUUCCUGCUCUCCCAAAGAGCAGCGCUGAGCUGUGCUUGCAGCUUGCUUUGCAGUUGCAGUGCAUGAGAGAUUUGGUGCCUACAGCACUGGGGUUGGGGGGAAAUGUUUUGUGUAUCCUUGCAGGAGGCUUCUCCUCCCCAAACCCAUCUUCAGCAUAAAACUGCUCAGAAGUGCCUUUCCAAUCAGCAGCGUAAUCGCUCUUGCUCAGCAAGCUGUGUCUUUAUGCACUCUAACACGUGCCCCCUUACGUCUUUGUGUUCAAUGGGCACUUGGCAUCUCCUGCUACGUCUAACCUCCAUCUAACCUCCUAAGGUUAGGCUGCCUGCAGAGAGACGACUCCUCCGUGAACAUCAGCUGGAAGUUUUUAUGGUGCUGUUGAGAAAUAUACCUACACAAGGCAUUGGUUUACGUCUGGGGGACGUAGGAGCAGAAAGGCCUCCAGACACACAGCAAUGGAACCAUCAGCCGUUACUGUGAAGGUGUUAUUUCUCUCUCCUCCUCUUUAACGCGGGGCUGGGGGAUCCUAUCCAGGUAAACACAGCACUCAGCUGCCUGUUUGGCACACUGGGUGGGGGCAAAGCCAC